GGGGCUGGAAUGAACCCCAGCUGAGGGCCGGCGGUGCACCAACUUUUUCUAACCUCACAGGUGUCCGAGGGCUCUUCUGGACUGAAAAACCGGGGGGAUUCAGUGUGGUUCCCCCGAUCUGCGCUGAAGUUUUUAAACCCAUUGCAGUGCUGAUUUCAGCCACCAGAUGUGCGCAGUUGAGCCGCGUUGGCUCCCAGCCUGGAAGUGAGAAUGGAAUAUCACUGGGGCAGACCCAAAGGGCAGGUCCUCACCGCUGGGGUACGUGUGCAGCAACGGCAGCUGGUGUCACAGUGUCCAGCCGACCUCCGAGCAGGACACACAGCCAGCCGUGCACAAAGAGGCUUCUCAGGAAGAUGAUAAACAUCCUAAGAGCCACUGUGGCUUCUGGAGACACUUACAUCAGUGUCUUUUCCUUUAAAUAUCCUGAGCUGAAGUGCUCUUUGCUUGUGAUCUCGUGCAUGCCCACACAGCUGAAAAUAGGUCAGUGGUUGUGUGCUGGCAGCGCCGUGCUGUCUGCUGGGGAGCAUCCCUGGGAGGAGGUGGGGGCUCCCACAUGGCUCUGGGGGGGUUUUUGAGCUCCAUGUAGGACAUGUGGAAGGCAGAGCACCUGUGGAGUCCAACCCUAUGUCUGAGAGCAUCGUCCCAGUCCUCUUUGUUGUUCAGAGCUGUGCCCACCACCCCCUGGCACAAGCCUCUAUGACCCUCCUCAUCUCAUUCCCUGUAGAUAUAGGAUCAGGUCCCUCUCUGUACCUCCAUAUGUGGUGGGUGGUGCUCCUGGGGGCAGCCUGAGUGACACAGAGCAAGCUCCAGGGAUGGCACUGGGCAGCACUAAGCCUGCAGAAUGAACCCCUGGAAUGCUCCCACCCCUACCUCAGGCACUGCUGCACUGAGCUUUUGUCACUCUGUCCCACUAAGGGGGAUGUGCAGCUGGAUAUUGUCACCUCUGCUUCAGUUUAAGGUGAUAGAUGCCUUCAAUGAGGUUAUGGUGCUCUGGAGGGUGUCAGGAUGAUGCCAGCAAGCACCAGGGAGAUGCUCUCUGGCCUCUCCCCACCCCAAUUUAAAUCCACUUUGUUGCACGGAACAGCCAAAGCUUUUUAGUGAUUGCUGGCACUGUUCUUCUCACCCGUUGCACAAGAAAAAGCUGGAGGUUACUGAGGGAUGUUCUCAUGCAGCAGCAUUUAUCUGAGGCCUCAGCACUCAAAGAGAACAAAGCCCAGGAGGGUGGAGGGGAGGCUCAACCCCUAACAGCAAAGUUGUGUUUGCUGCUGUUCUGUUCUCCACACGGUGUCCCACUCCACCUCUCCCUGCAUCCUCUGUGCUUUCUGGCAUUGCACAAAGGCUGAUAGAUGGCACAGGCUGGGUGCAUGCAGCUUUGUGCUGGGGUCCUGGUGCUGGGGGCAGACACCCACUGUUAUGGGGGCAACAAAAAAGAGAUAAAAGGAACGUUUUUCCCGCAGGCCAUGUGCUGCCCGUCGCCAAGCAGUGUUUGUUGUUUUAAGUGCCUCUGGUCUCCUAGUGUCAUCUACAGAGCAAUGUGUGCCAUGCAAAGGGAUGGGAGCUGCCCUCACUGCUCCACUGUGGGGCUGUAUGGCCCCAGGGAGAGGCUCAGAGGUGCAAGGAGCUCUGCGUGUCACAGCUCUGCCUGGGCAGCUGCGCUUCUUUUUCCUCUUCUUAGUCAACACCCAACAUAUCACCUUAGUUCCCAAACUGGCUGCCUCUGGUCCUGCAGAGGAGGAAGCUGUAUGCUCUCCCCUGGGUGGGCACGUGUGGGUCUGGAUGAAUUUAAAGACCUGAGCAAUAUGUAAGGUCCAUAUUUAGUAAGGGCAGGUUUCUGUAAAGUGCUCGCUUGGGUUCAUCCCUGCCCUUUAAUUGCAAUGCAUAGCGAGUUGCUUGGAGCUCCCACCCUGCCAUCCCCAAACAGCCUGAGAGGACCUGAAGAGCUUUGGGCUGCCUGCAUAGGAAAAACUGGAUGCUUGAAACGCAAAAGAAUCUGCCCUGUAAAACUCCAGGAGGAUAAGUCAUGCUUUCCUGCCACAUAUAAUGCCAAAAAUAAAACAAGGCUGGUUGUGCAACGCUGGUAGUUACAGCAGAUCACGGGGCUGUUUUUCCUUUUCGCAGAGCAAAAACUCUUCCAGCCGUAGCACUAAAAGCCUCCUUUAACAAAACCCUCGCUUUUUUUCCCAGCCCUGCUGGAUGCAGGCAGCUACAGGAGGAUGGGCCGCCGGGGGUUAAGGCUGUGACCUGAAUGAGAGCACUGCUGCAUCUCACAGACAGCAGAGUGGAAAUAAAUCUGACCUUGCUCCCCGUGCCAGAGCCUUUGUAAUGCUGGAGCAGUACAGAAGGGCGAGGUGCCUCAGGCUCCAUGCUGUUGCUUUGGGGUGUGGGAUAUUCGUUUGUUCCUAAACGCGUUGAUCAGAUCAGGGUUCUCAUAGCUGGGAUGCAGUCAGGCCUUUCCCCUGCAUCCCCAGCAGCCAGUAAAUAAUUCUGCUAUCCCUCAGCCCUCCUGUGCUGUCAGCUCUGAGUGUCCCAGUGCUUGUCCUCUGCCCCUCCUGGCCUUGGCAGCGUGCAGUAUUUUGCUCUGAGGCCAUUUCCUUUAGCCAAGGAUGAGAUCUGAAUGCAGAGCUCUGGAGUCACAGCGCAGCUGUUUACAGAACCCUUCUGCUUGCUGUCACGAGUUGGGAAGCAGCACGAGUAACAAGCAGUUGUUUGUCUGCCACGUGGGAGCUGGGAGUCCAAAAAGCAGAGUGCUGCUGGGCUGCUCAUCCUGGGCAGCAUCCCUCAUCUGCGCUUACGUGUUUCUGCAUUGCUCCCCUGCUGAUCCCUGCGCUCAGAUCAGCAGGAAUCACUAUCCUGCUUUGUCUGAAGCCUGCAGGACUGCAGGCACUGCUUUAAUGCUUUGUGUUUGACCUGGUAAAGGGGAGGAUUUGGGGCUGCCCGUGCCCGUCCUACACCUACGGAGUCGUCUGCUUCUUCUCCACCUUGGGUGUAAUUUUGGCUCGAUAGAGAGGGCUGUGGCCACCAACCAGCCCUGAUGCACCAGAGGUGAGCCUGUGUGGGGGAGCACUGUCCCAGGAGGACCUGGGACCCUGCAGAGGGUUGGUUCUGUGCAGGAUGCCCAGGGAUGAGUAUCCUCUGUUUGAUGGGGUGGUGAGCACCUCCUCUCUCAUCUGUAUGAGACCUCUGCUCUCAGGUCUGCUUGUUCUCACCCCCUGUCACCCGUGCAGAGGCACAGUAGCAGGCUUUGGGUACACACACCAUGCCCUCCCCAGCCUGGAAGUUGCAGCUCCAGCAGCAGCUCUGAGCCCCAGUGUUGGAGCCCUUCCCCCUGUGGGUCUGCAGCUCUCCAUCCAUCCCCGCCCCCAUCCUGCUGCGUGAAGUCAGCAUUCAGCUGCAGGCUGCUCCAAACGCCCAACUCAGGCUUGCUGGUCAUCCAGCGGUGCUGGGGGAGGCUGCACACCCCUACAAAUUAUUUCAGCCCCUUUGUAAAGGAAAGAGCUGUCCGUGAAACAACCGGAUCCGACGUCUGGAAGGAAGGAAGCCGAUUGUUUUUUCCCUGUGAUAAAAGCAGCUCGUGCUGAGUCAGCACCGGGGCGGAAGGAAGGUGGGAGCAGCAGGAUGCGGCCCUUCCUGCUGGCAGGAUGGCAGCAGGGGAUGGUUCUGCCUGAAUCUGGGCAGCGUGGUGUUUUCACGGGUACCUCUGGAAGCCUGGCAACUGCUGCAGGGUUGCAACCGCACCCCUGGUUAAGAGCGAGUAUUUUAGGAAUGUGCUUCUCUGGUUUUUUGUGUCUUCUUUAAUUUCGGCGUCUGAGGGCUUGUUGUGUAAGCACAACCAGGGGAUGGACUCUGCCUGCGGAAUGCCAUGCUGAGAACUUUCCAGCUGACGCAGAGAGUGAUAAAUGUGUGGAAUGAUGGCAGUACCCUUUUGCUUUUAGGGAGAAAGUUGUGUGGAAUUGUCGAGAAGGAGCAGAGGAAGCGUGGAAGAGAAGAGGAUACUGCGUGCAAAGCUGACAAAGAGGAGGCAGGGGAGGAGUGCAGGAGGAGAGCAGCUGGGGGAGGUGAAUGCAGCUAUAGGAUGCAGUUGGGUGUCUGAGACAGCAGAAGAGUUGGGCUGAAUGGAAAGCUAGGCCAGGGGCGUGCAGAAAGUCAGAGUGGGGUUGGAUUCCUGGGGAUGGAGGCUUGGGGAUACCAUGGGUAUGGUUCUGCUUUGCUGGCAGGAUGGAUCCCAAGAGCAGCAACUGGAGGGUUUGCCUGCAGAGCUCUGAGGUGCUGGGCAUCACCGUAUGCCCACCUCCAUCCACACUCUCUGAGAGCACUGGCCAAAUCUGAGGGCCUUCUGAAGUAGCCCCUCACCUAAAUAAAGUGCAGCAAUUCAGAUGAUGCCCCGAAAGCUGUACAACCAACUGGGCAGCCGUUUGGUGCUGCAGUCCCUUGCUCCAUCUCCUCCCUUGCAGUCUGGGAGGCCUGGUGGGUAUCAGCCCUCCCCUCCCCACUUUCCAAACAAUCUCUGCUGUGCUCUGCUCUGCUCAUGCAGGCAUCUGGCAUCAGGCUGCUCUAUUCCAGCCACAUCAGUUUCAGAUUUCAUUGCAAAUGCAUUUUAAAGGGGGAGGGGGGUGGAGGGGAAGGGAAGAGGUCAGAGGCAGCCUUUGAGCUUUCCCAGAGCUGCUGCGUGAGCCUGGGGGCACCCAAACCAGAUGCAGCUCCGUGGGGUAGGUAUGCAGCAGCAGUGUUGACCACACUGUGCAGCCACAGGCUCGGAUUCCUCAUUCCUCACACUCUCCUGUGCCCUUCCCUGGGGUGAGUUGUGCAGCGGCACCACAGCCGUGCAUCUUUCCUGGGAGAUGUUCACUUAGGAUGCCUAUGAGCUCACAGCUGCACACGCACACUCCUCCCCUCCGGAGCAGUGCUGCAAUGGGGAACUGGCAGCCCAGCCUGGAGGCACACAGCCACAAGGGAGCCCUCCCAGCUCCACCAGCAGCAGUGGCUCCUCUGAACUCAAAGGCCAUGCUCAGCCCAGCAGGUUAACUUGGCUGCGUGUGCCCCGUGCUGUCCCCACAGCGUGUGCUUUCUCACUUCCUUCGCUCCCUGCUACCAGAGCCGUUCUUUGUUUGCAACAUCUGGCCUCAAUUAUGGUCCCUCUCCGUUGAUUUCCUGUGUCUCUGGGUUUCCUGACACGCAUCCCCUCCUCCCAGCAGCACUGCACUCCAGGAGCUCUCGCAUUCCUCCCCUCCUCCUGCAGCUUCUGGAAUGAAGUGCCCAAUCCUGGCCUCAAUAAGCAACACAGAGCCCAGGGAUGUACUCAGCCUUAGUGGUUGGUCCCAACCCCUGCUUGGGGUGCAGGCACUGCAGUUUCAGGGUGCCUGAAAGCUCAGCUUGUUUAAGAGGAGGGGGAGGUAGAAAUGGUUAAGAUGGUUAAAACAUGAGAACGCACAAGCUAAUGAUUUCCAUCCCCUUGCUGGCGUGUUUCAGCAUUCGGAAGGGGGUCUGGCUAGCAGCUGUGCCAGCAAUCACAACCGGAGCUCAAAGAGUAUUUUUGUACUGUGUCAGCUUUCAUCCAUGGCCCCUUUGGGUUCCCCCAGCUCCUGCAGAUGCCGGAGCUCCAGGACUCCUGCUGCUGCUGUCCCAGUGGAUGCUUUCCAUCCUAUGCCCAGCAAUGCAGUGAGAUGAUGGAGGAAUGAAGGAGGUGCUGCCUUAUCCUUGCCCACCCCUCCCCAGGCAGCAGGGAUUCUCUCUUUCAGGUUCCCAGUGACUCAGCAGCGUUUGUACAACAGAAGAAAAAAAGCUUCAGCUUCCACACCUCUGCAUCCUAAAGCACAGGGGGAUGGAAUCAAGGACAGCUCAGGGCUGCGCAUGGGAAAGAUUCCAUAAAUAUCUGUGGCCAAGCAGUCCUGCAUCCAACUUUAGGCACAGAAGCCCAUGCAUUUAUUAUGGAGCCAGUUCUUAUAUCUAAGGAUGCUAAAGCCUGGCAACAGAUGUAAGGAACUGGGUUAUUUCUGUAGCUGUGGUUUGAGCUUCCCUUGGAGAGGCGGUGUUCGCUCUUACCCAGACUAACUCCCCCAAGGCAGUAACUCCUCACCAUCCUCUGAUGCUGGGACCCUGCUUGCCUUCUAUUAGGACAGCCUGCUCUGCAUUUCCAGGUCAAACUCAGCACUGCUUUUCUGACCACAGCAGGAACACAUCUGUGCAGCUGUGCCAUUGGGAACGUUGCCUUCAGAGAGAUUUUGUGCGGCACCUCCCUGACUUUCAUCAGUCUUUUUCCUGGUGCCUUUCCUUAUUGCGAGCAGUGGUGGAAGCAUGGAGAGGGAAGGAUCCAACUUCUUGUCUCAGGAGGAAGGAUGCUUAGAAAUCCUUCAACAGUGUGAAGGUGGAGAGGAGUAAGAGAAGCCCAGAGGUGAGGUGGGCACUCCAAAUUUGCAGUGUCCCAGUAUCCCCCCCCCCCAGCUGUGUUUUGUGACAUGGACUGAUUUCAGAUUGAAAUCCCCCCUGGACCCCUGUUCUGUCUCAUUCUCAGAGACCCUCUGCAGCAGCCCAGACCCUCCAAGUUCAUAAGCACUUGGGUAAGGAGCCAGAAAGCUAUGCUGGAUGCCAAGGGACUGCUGCUGUCACACAGCCCCACAUUCCAAACUUUAUGUUAGACCAUAUGGGUGAAUUUGGACUGGUUUGCCCUGCAGGGAGCAUCCUUGCCAUCUGUGAGGGGCAUAGCCACAAUAAUUAGUGCCUGUGCUAGGAAUCCCCUGGCUCUGGAGAAUUUGGGGUAGGAAGCUGGCGGCGGGACAGCAUGGCAACCCCCAAUCCAUCACCCCACAUCUGGGGCUGGCAGUCAGCUCUCACCUCCCUGCUCUCCCACAUGGCACAGCCGCCCCUGUCCCCCCAGAUCCCUGGUUUUGGGAUGCUUGGGGCCUCCACCCGAGUUGGGGGAAACGCGGUGCUGUCCGGCAGAUGGCACCCAGCGCAGGCAGCCAGGAAGGCUCACGCAGAUGUGAAACGGGAUUUUAUAGCUCUGGGUUUCAUCAGGAGCUGUUGUCUUGGAAACAGAUCUGCAGAGCGCUCAUGCGUUCAGCAUUAACUGCUUCAGUGCCUCACCGAUGGCUGCGGGGGGUGCACAGCAAACCUUCCUGUCUCGCUGGUGGAAGGAGAAGCUCCUCUCAGAGUGAUUUGUGCUGGAGACAGUGGGAUUAAAGGGCUGCCAGCCUCAGAAAGUCAGAAGGAAUGUGUCUUUUUUAGGGCUGGGUUUGAAGUAGUCUUUUAAUAUCUCUUGGAGCAGAAGGCUGAGGACUUGGUGGGGAUGCGUGGGCUCCAUUUACUGCCCGGAGCCCUGGAGCACAACGCUACACCCACGCUUUGACCCUUUGCAUCUCAUCCUUCCUGGUCCUGUGGGUUCAACCCCCCUCUGGUGCUGCCUGCCUGGACGCGAGGUGGCACCGCGGUUUCGCUGCCGCUGCGUCGGCGGUAGCGCAUGUGCCGGUGCCGCACAUGGGAUCCAGCCGGGUGAAGGCUCUGUUGCCGGGGAAGGAGAGCAGCUGAGGCCGAGUUAAUCUCCUUAGCGGGCUGAGCGCCGUCGGGGGAGAGAAAGGGAGAUUAGAGAGCCGGGGAUGGCAUUAGCAGCCGGGACGCCAGUUGGAGAGGAACACUGAGACAAAGUGAAGCGGGUGCGGAGGGAGAGCGCACGGGGAGAUCAGCGCAGGAGCCUCGGGGGCUUCAAACGGCAGCAAAUAACCCAACAGCUGGGUUCUCCUAGGAAGAGCUGCGCUUUAGAAAACACGCCAAAAAUCCUGGCUGAGCCGUCCCCUCCCCCUGCUGCUUCUCGGGGAGGAAGGUGUUGCCAGGCAGUCUGGUCCUAAUCCAUCCCCUCCUGACCAUUCCGUCCCCUCCUGGUCCUUCCAUCCCUUCCAUCAGUGUGUGUGGGAAGGGCCGACCAGCUGGGUUUUGCCCUGCACCUGCCAGGCAUGAGAUGAGGAGCAGGACGUGGAAUAUUUGUUGUCCCUCUCCCUAAUCCAAAAGGUGCCCUUUUCAACUGAGAAGCAGGGCGUGAGGCUGUCAUUCCGUCUGAGGGUUUGGGUGCUGGGUUCUGCUCCCUGCUCCUGCCACAUGGAUUUCACGGGGCCCUGUGAGUCCCUGUGGGAAUGACAGCUGAGUGGCUGUGUCAGUGGGAGAAGGUUAUGGGGUCAGUGCAGAUGCAGCAGGGCCGUGGGACAGGCGGGUGCUGCUCGCAGUGCUGCCCGAUGCUGGGAAUUUUGGGAUCGGUUCAGGAAGGGAAAGCAGUGCCCGUGUAAACUGCUUGGUGUUUGUUCCUAGCAGCUGUCAAGGAAACCAUGGCACGGUUCAGAUACCCGGUUGGUAUUGCUGCUGACGUGUUGCAUCCUUUUAAUCCACUUCCAAAAUAGCUUCUCUAUUACUCCAUUAGUGCUGGCUUAUGCAUCACACUGUUCUCCUAUGUGCUGGCAUCUGUCCUGCCCAGCAACAUGGGCUUCAGGGCUUGUAUUCCAGGCAGAGGAAGUAGAACCAGAGGUUUUACACGCAUGAGUGUGGGCAAGACAGGGCUGCUGCGUUCCUGCCAGAAAUAUUCACAUAGAGGUGGAAAGAGCCGAGGUUGUAGCAGGAUAUGCAGAGGUACACCCUGGUGCCAAGGGCUACAGGAGGAGACUGAGGAAGAAGCUGAUGCCAUGCAGCAGAAGGAAAAGAGAUCAAAAGGGUUUGGAAAAGAGACAACGUGGAAGCAGACUCAGGAAUGGAAGGGAUUGAGGAGAGCAGCAUGGAAGAGAUGGCUGCAAUCAGCACAGUUUGUACACUGCUGAAAGUGAGGGAGAUUCCGGGUAGUGGGCUGUGCUCUGUGAAAAAGAAAGCUGAGAAAAUGAGGACCCAGAAAAGCAGAAAUGAGGACACGCAGUGCCAGAUCUGUGCCACAGCAGUGUCUGCCAGCUGGUCACUAAGCAGGGGAGUGGGGGAGGGAGGUCUCCAAGGCGAGCCUUUGGGAAAUGGAAACCAGAGCAGGGAUGUAGGAGAGAAAGUUAUGAUUUCCCUGUCUCAAAGAAGGAAAUGCUCAUUCGUCUCUAGUAGCCUAUAGUAGCUGUGAGAUGCUCUUCUUUAACACACUGUGAGGACUUAAAAGUACAGGGUGUCCUGCAGGAUGGCAGGGAGUGAUGGGGACGCCAGGAGGGGAAAAUGUGAGGCUGGUGGAGAUGGCUGCAAAGUGUCAGAAGGGUGUUUGACCCUCACAGCCUUGGGUUUUUGAGGUCUUAGCAGCAGGUAGUAGUGAUUAAAAUGCUGACAGGGCUCCGCUCCAGCCACCAGUGGAUCCCAUGGCUGGCCUGUGGCUGGUGUCACUGUGCAGCCAUCUUCCUGAUGCAUUCCUCUUCCAGUGCUGGGACCGUAGCUGUCACCAUGGCACUCUGCGUCCUGCCAGCUGCUCGGUGCUGCCAUGCUCUGUGUCCUGUGUCCUUGUGUCCUGCUCAGCACCAUUUGCUCCUCAUGCACAGUGCAGGCUGCCAGCAGGAAGCUCUUCUGUUGUUGCCAGCCCCCGGGGUGAUGCUCACCUCCUCGCAGCUGCUUCAGACCCGGCUUCCCCUUGGCGAGGACUAUUUCCCUUUGCACACCUGUACAAACAAGGCUCGCAGCAUCCAGCCUGAGCUCAGCUGCUGCUUAGUUGCUGGGCAGGAUGAGGAGUGAAGGCUAUCAGCAGGAUUUGCUGCUGUGAGAGCUUCUCUGCUACACUAACCGGGCUGCAGGGGCCAGCAGAGUGCACUUAACACCCACGUAGGGGUGGGAUGGGUCCCAGGCGCUCUGUGUGUCACCAAAGAAUGUCUUUCAGCUGCUCAUUUCACUUUCCCCUUCUUUUUGCUCUUUUCAGAGUUGAUCACAGCAGCUGCUGUGCUUGAGGUGGCAGCACCUAUGUAGUCCCUUAACCAGCCUUAAACAGCUCUGGCAUUGUCACUGGGUGCAGUGGGCAGUAUUUAGGGGAUGCUGGGUGCUGGACAUGGGCUGCCCCUCACAGCCUUUUUCUCACAGCCCCCGUCUGGUGCCUCGUUGUCCCCAGGAGCUCAUAGAACCACACAAUCACAGACUAGCCUGAGUUGGAAGAGACACCUGUGGGGGUUGCUGAGCUCAUCUCCGACACCACCACAAAAUCCAAACCCUAUAUCUGAGGGCACUGUUCAAAUGUCCCUUGAAGACUGGCAGCUCGGGGACGUGCCCGCUGCCUUGGGCAGCCUGUUCCAUGCCCACUGCCCUCUGGUGCAGAAACUUUCCCUAACUCAGAGAUCUGCUCUGGGCUGAACAAACCCAGAGGCCUCAACUUCUCAUCUGAUGGAUGAGGAAAAGGCCAUGGAUGUUGUCUGCCCUGAUUUUCAUAAAGCCUUUGGCUCCGUGUCUCUCAGCAUUCUCCUGCAGGAGCUGCAUCCUAUGGCUUGGGCAGGUACAGUCUUCACUCGGUACAGAACCAGAAAAUGCUGGUGGAUGGAGUUAUAUCCAGCUGGCAAAUGGUCACCAGUGGCAUUCCCUAGGUGCCAGUCCUGAGGCCUGUCCCAUUUAAUAUCUUUAUUGAUGAUCUGGAUGAGGGAAUUGAGUGUACCCACGGUAAGUUUGCAGAUGACAACAAGUUGCGGGGAGGUGUUGAUCUGCCUGGAGGUAAGAAGGCUUUAUAGAGGGACAGGGACAGGCUGGAGAGCUGGGCUGAGGCCAAUGGGAUGAGCUUCAACAAGACCAUGUCCUGUACUUCGUCCACAAUAAUCCCAGGCAAUGCUACAGGCUUGGGGCAAUGGCUGAAGGAUGUGUGGGGAAAAAGAAUCUGUGGAUGGCCGUCCCCCAGGAGCACUUCCAGCAGGACACAUCACACCUUGCCUCAUCACAGUCACAGAAUCAGUCCAUCAGUGCCCAUCUCUGCCUCCUGCUGCCCGAGCAGCUGUGUCCAUUCACAGCCUCAUGAGGUCUGUGAAGGAAUGGAAGAGCCUCCGGGCUCUGCUCUGUGCCUUAAAGGCCUCAUUGUGAGGACUGGGGUCAGCAGAAGUGGAUGGCUGGAGGCAGCCCAUUGACGGGGUAUGCACACAAUAGCUCAGUGUCCCCAGCCUGGUGCUGUGAUUGUCCCCAUAGUUCAGCCCAGCCCAGUGAUUCAGAGCUGUGGUUGCAAUGACUCAGCCACUCUCCUCUUCUGCCACCCCAACGUCAUUCGUGGCCCAUCUGCUCUCCGUGGCACAGCAAAGGGAAUGCGGAAAAUCAAUCACGAAUCCAUCGUGUCCCAACUCGUCCUCAUCCAAGGGAAUCAAGCAGUGUAAAGAGCAAUGCAGCCUUGCCCCAUUGCUCAGUGCUGCAAACCCCAAACUGAGCUACGGGAGCAGGGUGCAGCCUUCCCCACGCUGCAGCUGUACCACAGAAAAACCUCUGCAUCCUGUGGGCAGAGGCAGCUGUUCCCAACUCUUCCCGAAAUGUUUUUCCAGAGAUACCGUAAUCUUGAAUCAGGUCAACUGGGGGUGACCAAAACUGUGGCUUUUGGCAUAGGUUUCCAGGCACCUGCUCCUCAGCACUGCCAUAAAUAGUUUGUGCUCAAAACAGUGUAAAUAUUUGGUGUAUUUCUCUUAAUAGAAUCAUAGUCGUUUGAGUUGGAAGGGUCCCUUCAAGGCCAUCCUUCGAGGCCAUCCAGUCCCACUCCCUGCAGUGAACAGGGAUACCUACAUCUCCAUCAGGUGCUCAGAGUCCAGUCCAGCCUGAUCUUGGAUGUCUCCAGGGAUGGCUCCAUGUGUGAUGUAGGAAUCCCUGGGAAAGGAAGGAGAGGAAGCAAACAGAGCAUGGCACAGCAGUGGCUUUCUUUAGUCUCAAAUGUUCUGUGUGCCUGCGUCUUGGAUGCUGCCUGCAGCGCUGGUUCCUCUGCCUGAGGGGAGGCAUAAUGAGCUGGAAAAGUGCAGCAUGGAUGGUUGGGUAGACCUGGGAGUGCUUAAUGCAGAUGAGGGACACGAAGGAUCUGUAUGAAAUCAUUCACCGGAGGUGUUUGUGUGUCUGCCACGGAUACUUUGAGGCAUGAAUGAGGCAAGGAGGAGAAAGCUUAAAUGCAAAGCUGUAAUUUCACAGCACGCCUCCAUGCAGGAUGCUGGGGAUGUUUACAGGGUACAUGACUUAAAAAAAGAAAAUGAGUACAUUUAUAGAAGAAAAAGGUGGGAGGAUGUGAGAAAACUCACUGCUAGGGAAAGAAGAUGUUGGAGGAGGGAGGGAGGAUUUGAGACCUGCCAGGAGAGGAUGCAGGAGGGCAGCUAUGCCCUAGAUUAUGCUGGGGAGAGAAGGCUGUCGGGGAGGGGAGUCUGUGCCAAAGGGAGGAUGGAGACAAGAAGCCCAUUGAGCACAGGAGGCUGCUUUCACAGCCCUGGCUGCGCUGCAGUCCAGCUGCUGGGAUAUCUCUCCCCCUGUCCACUGCUGGAGCCCCGAGGGGAUCAGCACACAAAGCCUGGCAGCUGUGAAUGCUCUCUGUGUUGUCUGCACAGACCCAGAGCUUGGUCCCCCCUCAGUACCCUGUUGAUAGGAGAGCAGUAUCCCUCAGCACAGGGUGCAGGCACACCCAGCACACAGAAGUGCCCACACUAUGCAGGGGACAUUGUGCUAGCACACAUAGAAGGGAGGUAGUAAGUAUGGGGCUGCUGAAGGCUGUUGGUUUGCCUGGUGGUUGCUUUCCUCUGCUGCUCUCCCAUGGGACGCACAGCCUUGGAGCAACUCUCCCAUCUCUGUUCCCCUGCAGUGCAGGGAGAGAGGUGCUGGGUUCACAGCAGUUCAUCAGCAGUCUCUGAAAGGCCUUUAUACCUAUUGCCUGUCCCUUCCAUGUGGUUUUGCACGGCUGCUCUCAGUAUUUCUGGAAUCUACUUGGCAAAUUGCUAAUGAAAGAUUUUCAGCCCUGCAAGAGUUAAUUCCUCAUGUCUGUGCUGCAGUUCAGCUGCUGCUUUAAUAUUCCCGAGCACUCCCUUCCCUUACACCACCCCCUCCCAAAUGCAAGGCUGCAUUUUCUUUGGUGUCUGCAUGUAGGUUCUACAUGUUCGCUGUGCUCAGCCAGCCCUGCUGCUAUGCUGUCCUCACUGUGGGCCACCAGCCAUGUCCCAGCCAUGGGCUCACAAACCUGACAUGGGCAAGCAUUCCCAAAAUUUCAUUUUGCCUUUUCACAGAAUCAUUGUGUGUCAAAGGCCAUACUGAAGUCCAGAGACAUGAUGUCAGUGACUCUUUCCUUGUCCUCUGGUGCAGUUUCACCAUUACAGAAGGUCAUUGGUUUGGUCAGGCAAAAUAAAUUGGUCAGUCCCACCAUGUCGGCACUGACAGUCCCUAAGAAGGACUUACAUUUCCCCCUUGGGGGUUUGCUCCCAUUGAACACAGCGUCUAUUCCAGCCCUGAUCCUGUAGUGGGAACUUCUUCCUUCCCGCUAACAAAUGCUCCGGAGAAUGGCAGGCUGGACCACGGCUGAUCUGAAGGUGUUUCCCUCCACUGUUUCUAAAGAUUUCAUCUCUUGCAGCAAAUGAAAGACAACUGCUAGCUUCCAAACUAUGGAAGGAUGCUGCCUGGUCUCCAGAACCAAUAAAGAUGCACAAGAGCAGAGAGAAGACAAGGUGGAGGCACCCUUGAGGAGAGCACUGAGAUCACCAGCUGCUCAAGCUGGGCAUUGUGUUCGGACUAUGGCAGAGGGCAGUCAAACUGCGUGAGCUUUCAGGAAGCCCUUUGCUCUUGGGGUUGUUUGAGUCACAUUUCAUGUUCCAGCUCCCACUCGGGCGCCGAGUUGUGUUGUUGCUUUAAUUCAACAUAUUUGCAACGAUGAGGUAAUGGAGUGAUCUGUAACAGCCCCACGUCAUCUGGGCCUGGCUGCUGUCACACCCAAGAGCGUGAAUGUUCAGCUCUGUGCAAUGGGGCUUGGCAGACGUGUGCAGUGCAGGGUCACGGGCAGAGCAAAGCAAUGACUCAGGCUGCCAAGGGAGAGCCAGGGCACAGGGCUGCCCUCCCCGAGUGGGGCUGCAGUGCUGCUCUGACUCGGGUCAUGCUUUCACAUUUUCAUCUAUCCGUGCUACGCUGGGGAGAAGAUAACUCAGAUGUUCUGGAUAUUGCUGGGAUAUCUUGUCCCAUUAUGGGCUGGGGAGAGUAACAAAAGUCUGAACAGUGCUGGCUCAGCCCAGAAGCUGCCGUUCUUGCUUUGCACAGGGCAUGAUUCCACUUUGCAGCUUCUCUUUGUGCUUAUUAUCUCUGUCCCAUUGCAGGUGCUGAGCUCCAGCAUGUAGAGCCAGCAGUGCGUGAAGCAGAGAUGCUAACAGCUCGGGAGCUGCCUGAGCUGCUGAGAGCCCCUUGGGAAGAGAUAUGUAUGCCAGUGUAAGUGAGGUCUGUGCGAGGAAGAGAGAAAGGUUGUCUGCAGAGUGUGGGGCUCCUGCUCAGCCUGGAGCAGCAGAGGGGCAGGGUGGUGCUGAGCAGAGGGUGCUGGUAGCGUUGUGCUCAGGGCUGGGUGCUCCAGGGGUCUGCCAGGAGCAAUGCUUGGCCCUGCCCCUUCUCCUGGGGGGGGAAUAAAGGGUUAAAAAGGUGGUGGCACAACUCAAGCAUCCAUCCAUCCCUCUGUUUUCUUGGUGCUUGUGGAGCUGGGGGAUGUGACGCCGUCACACCAGGGUGGCAAGAGCCCCAUAAGGCUGGUGGCAGGGAUGGGUCACCACUGAACAGCCAAAUGUGGGUGGCUGCAUUCCACAGCUCCAGAAAGCUGCAAAAUGAGGGAGAGAUCAGGAUAUGUGAGCUGGAGCCUUGCCCAAAGGCUUUUGUUUUCUUGUAAUGGUUCCCUUUAAUAUAAAGCUGUUUCUCAUGGCUCGGCAGCUGUGGAGAAGCAAUGCUUUGGUAGCGCUGUGAUAUCAGUUUGUAUGGACAAAAGAUGGAAGAAUAAACAUUGUUUUUGGUAUUAAAAAAAUGUGAUCUUGGCUGUUUGUGCCACAUCAUAACCUCGGUGCAGAGACCAGCCUGAAGUUUGUGGCAUGUAGGGACCUCAUCCAUUCUCUGUGCAGAACACCUCCCAUUGGCAAAACUGCCGUGGAUCCUGGAAGCCUAAACACCCCGGAUACACAGCUCAAGCCUUUCUUGUCCCCAUAGUGUCCGUGUGGCAGCAUGGCCCUGUUUGGGCUGGAUCUCACUGAGUCUAGGGUCUGACCCAGCCAGGAAUCAGCUCCCUGCUGGCAUACACGCCUGCUUUGUCCAGAUGGCUGUGUUAGAUGGGCAAAUGCCUUGCAGCGUGCUAGUGUCCCUGGCUUAUUGUCACAUGAGCACUUUGUCCUUGCCCUUGUUCUGUAUCUGGGGCAGGAGCCAAUGGCACUGGUCUGUGUCCUGUGAAUGACAGCCACCCCAGUAAUGUCCCUUGGUACACCUGAAGGAUGCUCCAGCCCUUCCUGCUGCCACCAGCACCUCCCCGAUCCUCCCUGUCCUCUGCUCAUGAGGACAAAGCCACCAAUGUCCCCACUGUGCCCACAGGUUCCUUCCUACCUGCUAUGUCCCCACUGCUGCAGCAGGAGGGAUGGACACAAGGGACCGCCAGGAUAAUUUUAAAACGAGGGCAGAGAGCUGAUUAUCAUUUGGCUUAAUUCUCUUUAGGUUGUUUUGUUUAAUAUUUUUCCUAAGGGCCCUUUUGAUUAGCUCGGCAAUGACAAGCUGCUAAUUGGGGUGCGUGAUGUCCCAAAGUGGGACGUUGGAGGUGGGAGCAACGUGCCCUCGGGUACCUGGCAACUCACUUGCAAAACUGGGACAAAACAGCUGUGCUGAGGUGCUUCUCUGACCUGGAGCUGGAGCAAAGGAGCUGGAGGGGCACAUAGGAAAGCCAGGCUGGAAGAUAGGAGGGUUAUUUUUUAAUUCACUGCUGGUGAACCCUGAAGUUCUGCUCCAAAGAGACCAGGUCAGUGGCAGUAGGGAGAAGUGCCAGGGUUGGUCCAUAGGGCUGUGCAAUGGACACAGAUGUCGCUUAUUGACAAUGCAAAGCAGCCUCCAGCAUCAGUUAAGCAGUGGUUUCCAAAGCUUUUGGGAUCGCACAUCCCUGUCAAUAAAAGAUCUCUGAGCAUUUAUACACUGCCAGUAUAAAUGUGUUUAUUGUUUAUCUAGAUGUACUGCUGUGUAUUUUGUGUAUAUUGUAAAGGGCAAGCCAAAAGAGCUUGUGUCCCUAGGAAGAGGACGGGGACACCCCGUGUGUCCCACGUCAUGCAGGAGAGGAGGGGAAGCAGCUGCUUAAUACCAGCUAGUCCUGCUUGCAGAAUCGUGUGAUCCCCCCUGUCAUGGCAGCCAUGGGCAGUGAGAAGGAGAAUUCUAUUCUGACUCCAAAAACUGGGCUGAAGUUGUAAAGAUGGAUGGAUGGAUGGAUGGA